CCUACGGGAGGCAGCAGUGGGGAAUAUUGCGCAAUGGGGGAAACCCUGACGCAGCAACGCCGCGUGAAGGAUGAAGGUUUUCGGAUUGUAAACUUCUUUGAUUGGGGACGAUAAUGACGGUACCCAAAAAACAAGCCACGGCUAACUACGUGCCAGCAGCCGCGGUAAU
rnacentral:rRNA from 1 species